GUUGGGUAGGGGAGCGUUCUGUAAGCCUGUGAAGGUGGCCUGUGAGGGUUGCUGGAGGUAUCAGAAGUGCGAAUGCUGACAUAAGUAACGAUAAAGCGGGUGAAAAGCCCGCUCGCCGGAAGACCAAGGGUUCCUGUCCAACGUUAAUCGGGGCAGGGUGAGUCGACCCCUAAGGCGAGGCCGAAAGGCGUAGUCGAUGGGAAACGGGUUAAUAUUCCCGUACUUGGUGUUACUGCGAAGGGGGGACGGAGAAGGCUAUGUUGGCCGGGCGACGGUUGUCCCGGUUUAAGCGUGUAGGCUGGUUUUCCAGGCAAAUCCGGUUCACUUUAAAACUGAGGCGUGACGACGAGGCACUACGGUGCUGAAGCAACAAAUGCCCUGCUUCCAGGAAAAGCCUCUAAGCAUCAGGUAACACGAAAUCGUACCCCAAACCGACACAGGUGGUCAGGUAGAGAAUACCAAGGCGCUUGAGAGAACUCGGGUGAAGGAACUAGGCAAAAUGGUGCCGUAACUUCGGGAGAAGGCACGCUGACACGUAGGUGAAGUGAUUUACUCACGGAGCUGAAGUCAGUCGAAGAUACCAGCUGGCUGCAACUGUUUAUUAAAAACACAGCACUGUGCAAACACGAAAGUGGACGUAUACGGUGUGACGCCUGCCCGGUGCCGGAAGGUUAAUUGAUGGGGUCAGCGCAAGCGAAGCUCCUGAUCGAAGCCCCGGUAAACGGCGGCCGUAACUAUAACGGUCCUAAGGUAGCGAAAUUCCUUGUCGGGUAAGUUCCGACCUGCACGAAUGGCGUAAUGAUGGCCAGGCUGUCUCCACCCGAGACUCAGUGAAAUUGAACUCGCUGUGAAGAUGCAGUGUACCCGCGGCAAGACGGAAAGACCCCGUGAACCUUUACUAUAGCUUGACACUGAACAUUGAGCCUUGAUGUGUAGGAUAGGUGGGAGGCUUUGAAGUGUGGACGCCAGUCUGCAUGGAGCCGACCUUGAAAUACCACCCUUUAAUGUUUGAUGUUCUAACGUGGACCCGUGAUCCGGGUUGCGGACAGUGUCUGGUGGGUAGUUUGACUGGGGCGGUCUCCUCCUAAAGAGUAACGGAGGAGCACGAAGGUUGGCUAAUCCUGGUCGGACAUCAGGAGGUUAGUGCAAUGGCAUAAGCCAGCUUGACUGCGAGCGUGACGGCGCGAGCAGGUGCGAAAGCAGGUCAUAGUGAUCCGGUGGUUCUGAAUGGAAGGGCCAUCGCUCAACGGAUAAAAGGUACUCCGGGGAUAACAGGCUGAUACCGCCCAAGAGUUCAUAUCGACGGCGGUGUUUGGCACCUCGAUGUCGGCUCAUCACAUCCUGGGGCUGAAGUAGGUCCCAAGGGUAUGGCUGUUCGCCAUUUAAAGUGGUACGCGAGCUGGGUUUAGAACGUCGUGAGACAGUUCGGUCCCUAUCUGCCGUGGGCGCUGGAGAACUGAGGGGGGCUGCUCCUAGUACGAGAGGACCGGAGUGGACGCAUCACUGGUGUUCGGGUUGUCAUGCCAAUGGCACUGCCCGGUAGCUAAAUGCGGAAGAGAUAAGUGCUGAAAGCAUCUAAGCACGAAACUUGCCCCGAGAUGAGUUCUCCCUGAGACUUAGAGUCUCCUGAAGGAACGUUGAAGACGACGACGUUGAUAGGCCGGGUGUGUAAGCGCAGCGAUGCGUUGAGCUAACCGGUACUAAUGAACCGUGAGGCUUAACCUUACAACGCCGAAG
rnacentral:rRNA from 1 species